UACGGGGGGAGCAAGCGUUGUUCGGAUUUACUGGGCGUAAAGGGCGCGUAGGCGGCGCAACAAGUCACUUGUGAAAUCUCCGGGCUUAACCCGGAGCGGUCAAGUGAUACUGUCGUGCUAGAGUGCGGAAGGGGCUACUGGAAUUCUCGGUGUAGCGGUGAAAUGCGUAGAUAUCGAGAGGAACACCUGCGGGCGAAGGCGGGUAGCUGGGCCGACACUGACGCUGAUGCGCGAAAAGCCAGGGGGAGCGAACGGGG
rnacentral:rRNA from 1 species